GACGUAGGGCGCGAGCGUUGUCCGGAUUUAUUGGGCGUAAAGAGCUCGUAGGCGGCUUGUCGCGUCGACCGUGAAAACUUGGGGCUCAACCCCAAGCCUGCGGUCGAUACGGGCAGGCUCGAGUUCGGUAGGGGAGACUGGAAUUCCUGGUGUAGCGGUGAAAUGCGCGGAUAUCAGGAGGAACACCGAUGGCGAAGGCAGGUCUCUGGGCCAUAACUGACGCUGAGAAGCGAAAGCAUGGGGAGCGAACAGG
rnacentral:rRNA from 1 species